CCUCUAAAAGCACUCUGUGUGGGGAACAUGAGAGCCAGACCAAAGCUCAGAGCCCAGAGCUGUGGGGCGUACCAGGCUCAGCUGGACAUAACCCUAAAACUAAUCCAGAACCUGGACCUGAACCCAGCUGUGUUUCCUUAAAGAGCAACGACUCAAAGGAUUUUUAUAUAAACUUUAAAGGCUGUUCUUCUGCUGCUGAGAGAGCUUCUGCACAGUGUGGAGAAAGAUCCAGAAGCAGAGCUGGACUGCAGACAGCCAGUCAGAGCAGCUGUGUACAAAAUGUUGGUCUGCAGGAGGUUUUAGAUGAACAUAAGAUCAG